ensembl:lncRNA
GUGAAGAUACUGCUGCUGUGAGGGCUAGAGUUGUUGAGAGCAGAAUGUUGACAAGGGCUGUGAAGACGUGGAGCCAUGCACUCUGGAUUCCUGUUGGUAGCUUGCAGAGGAAAUGGCUCCAUUGUUAUCUUCCCUCCAUCGUAUGAGAUACGAAGUGCUGUUCUUUCACUGUCUUAAGAUGUUCAGGAACAUUUUCACAUUUUGGAACAGUUGCUCCCACCUGUUCAGAAAGGAAUGUUGAAUAAUACUGUCAGCAGAUCAACUAUGUUAAUACUUGGGAUGUUCUGAAGACUUGAUACACAGUCCUUCCAGUGGCACAUAAGACAACUGACGACAGCAGCAGCACAGUUGGGCAUGAAGGUUUUAUGCCUAUGUCUGUUCAGAAAUGCCCUUUCAGUUAUGUACUCCCAUAAACUGAAUCAGCAUAUAAAUCUGCACGCUAUGCAAUAGAUGUAUAUGUAGCGGAGGCGCUGGGAUCCAACUCAGGAUAAUGGUGAGUCGAAUUCAGUCACGUCAGAUGUUGGACUUGGGAAAGCGCCUAUUAAGGACGGCAGUGCCAGCUGGGGAAGGUCUUGCAUCUGGCUAUGUGCUCCUGUCACCAAAGCCACUCCUAAGGCUGCACCAGGGCAGCAGUUUGCAGGGUGAUUGAAUGAACCACAUAUAGCACUGGGGAGAAAUGGAAAUCUUUUUUAAGGUCACCAGUAAUAUCACAGAGACAACACCCAGGCUGUGUGAAGACUCAUGAUUUCUGAUGAUGAUAAUAUCCCAAUGGUGGUCGGAAACAUCUAUUUGGUGUGGAUGAUGAUAACUUAUGUUCUAAUGAGUCUAGUCACUCUCAGUGCUUGUCAUUGCCCAUUUGGGGUGGAAUUCUGCUCUGUAUUGCACUAGAAAUCUUUAAAAUUCUGUCUGAAUAUUUCGGUCUGUUUUCUAUCUAUUUUCUUCACUAUUCACUUAAGAAAAAAAAGUCAUCAUUAGAAAGAACCUUUUUUUUUUUGGCAUUUCUUGCUCGCAUGCAAUUUCUUUUUCGCAUGCAUUUCUUGUUUGCACACAAUAGAUGGAGAACUUCAUGGAUAACUGCUUGCUGAAUAUUUCUAACAAUUUACUGUCUCAACACUUGCACAGUAGUGAAAAAUAUUAACUGUGAAGCUCCU